GGGGAUUUAGCUCAGCGGCAUAAGCGCCUGCCUUGCAAGCAGGCAGUCUUGAGUUAAAUCCCUG
rnacentral:tRNA from 1 species